rnacentral:lncRNA from 1 species
CAAGCAGUUUACAUUUGAACUUCAUAGCAAUUAGAGAUAUAGGUGAAUAAGCACACAUGUUUCUGGUGUUUCAGGAAUCAGUGACAUUCAAGGAUGUGGCUGUGGAAUUCACUCGGGAGGAGUGGGUACAACUGAACCCAUUUCAGAAAAAGUUGUACAAGGAUGUGAUGCUGGAGAACUAUAGGAACUUGGUCUUUUUGGAUUUGCAGUUUCCAGACCAGAUGUCAUCUUCCAGUUGGAAAGAAAGAAAGCAUCUUGGAUGCCAGAGCCAGAUAUUCCAAGAAGCAGCUGUCCAGGACUCACAUCCUAGUAUCAACAUCCUUACAUACUUUCAAAGGCUGGAGGAAGUGUUUUACCAAGAUGGAGUUGAGAGGCAGAAUUUUCUCUGAAAAGAGAAUCUGCAAACACCAGGAAACAUGCAGAACUCUUUCAAAUUUAUUUCUAACUUUUCUUUCAAAUAUAAACUGUAAUGAAGAUACUGACCUAGUGAAAUAUAUAAGUCCAUUGAUCUUAGGACAAAAACUUAGCACAAUUGGAAUUUAACUCAAAAAGCACUGAAGAAAUCUGGUAUUCCUUGAGAGAAGCCUAUCCCCACCUUAUAAGAAAAGCUAUGGAACCUUUCAUUUGCAACACAAGAUCUUUGUGAAUCUAGACCUUCAACACUUGCAGCCAUCAAAACAGGAAAUUCAAAUUGAAUAUCCAGCAUGACAUGCCUAUUUCCUUGCAAAAGAUCAACAGUUUCAGAUUCUCAUUUAAGUGAAGCAACAGUAGCCAUCAACACUAAUGUUUAACAAUUACAAUUUAACUUGCUU